UAACGGGAGUGGCAGACGGGUGAGUAACACGUGGGAACGUACCCUUUGGUUCGGAACAACACAGGGAAACUUGUGCUAAUACCGGAUAAGCCCUUACGGGAAAGAUUUAUCGCCAGAGGAUCGGCCCGCGUCUGAUUAGCUUGUUGGUGAGGUAACGGCUCACCAAGGCUACGAUCAGUAGCUGGUCUGAGAGGAUGAUCAGCCACACUGGAACUGAGACACGGUCCAG
rnacentral:rRNA from 1 species